CGAUGAAGGGGGAGCUUGCUCUCCUGGAUUAGUGGCGAACGGGUGAGUAACACGUGAGCAAUCUGCCCUUGACUCUGGGAUAAGCGCUGGAAACGGCGUCUAAUACCGGAUACGAGCUGCGAAGGCAUCUUCAGCAGCUGGAAAGAACUUCGGUCAAGGAUGAGCUCGCGGCCUAUCAGCUUGUUGGUGAGGUAAUGGCUCACCAAGGCGACGACGGGUAGCCGGCCUGAGAGGGUGACCGGCCACACUGGGACUGAGACACGGCCCAGACUCCUACGGGAGGCAGCAGUGGGGAAUAUUGCACAAUGGGCGCAAGCCUGAUGCAGCAACGCCGCGUGAGGGAUGACGGCCUUCGGGUUGUAAACCUCUUUUAGCAGGGAAGAAGCGAGAGUGACGGUACCUGCAGAAAAAGCACCGGCUAACUACGUGCCAGCAGCCGCGGUAAUACGUAGGGUGCGAGCGUUAUCCGGAAUUAUUGGGCGUAAAGAGCUCGUAGGCGGUCUGUCGCGUCUGCUGUGAAAACCCGAGGCUCAACCUCGGGCUUGCAGUGGGUACGGGCAGACUAGAGUGCGGUAGGGGAGAUUGGAAUUCCUGGUGUAGCGGUGGAAUGCGCAGAUAUCAGGAGGAACACCGAUGGCGAAGGCAGAUCUCUGGGCCGUUACUGACGCUGAGGAGCGAAAGCGUGGGGAGCAAACAGGCUUAGAUACCCUGGUAGUCCACGCCGUAAACGUUGGGAACUAGAUGUGGGGACCAUUCCACGGUCUCCGUGUCGUAGCUAACGCAUUAAGUUCCCCGCCUGGGGAGUAC
rnacentral:rRNA from 1 species